UACGUAGGUGGCAAGCGUUGUCCGGAAUUAUUGGGCGUAAAGCGCGCGCAGGUGGUUUCUUAAGUCUGAUGUGAAAGCCCACGGCUCAACCGUGGAGGGUCAUUGGAAACUGGGGAACUUGAGUGCAGGAGAGAAGAGUGGAAUUCCACGUGUAGCGGUGAAAUGCGUAGAGAUGUGGAGGAACACCAGUGGCGAAGGCGACUCUUUGGCCUGUAACUGACACUGGAGGCGCGAAAGCGUGGGGAGCAAACAGG
rnacentral:rRNA from 1 species